UCUCUAUCAGAGUUGUGUUGGGUCUCUGUCUAUCAGAGUUGUGUUGUGUCUCUGUCAAGUCCAAGUAUCUCUCUCCCUGUAGUUCGUACCUGUGUGGGUUAGGAAUAGUUUUGUUGUGUUUCUGUGUCUCUGUCAAGUCUAAGUAUCUCUCUCCCUGUAGUUCGUAGCUGUGUGGGUCUCCAGGUGUUGGAGUUGGAGCGUGUUACUGAGUUGGGCCAGGAGGGGGCAGCAGAGCUGUGUAUAGAAGGACUACAGAAUCUAGAGACUCUACUACUCACCUCUACUCCAGUUACACCUGAAGCACUGCUGCACUUUAACAGUGCAUGUUGUAACCUCAGGUCCAUCAUAGUGCAGAUCGGCAUAGCUGACCACUUUGAGGAGCCAGACAGUCCUGAAGCUAAGAGACAGUACAAUGAGAUGGUCAACACGUUACAGGCCCUAAAGAAGAGACCAGGUCUGUCUGAAGUGUUGCAGAUCAAAGCUGACGUUUUCGUUUGACCUCCUCCUCUUCCUCGUCUUCUUCAUCCUCCUCCUACAUCUCACUGACCUGUCAGUCACACAGCCAAUCAGCGAGUCUGGAAGCGACCUCAACAACACAUUUGCCAACCAAUCAGAAGAUACAGCAUCCUGGAGAGAAGAAUCAAUCAGCCAAUAGGAAUCACACAGACAUGAAAGAUGACACA